GCCUCGGUGAUGUAGUGGUAGCAAGCACUAUUGGUAUGAGUGAAACGCUGGUUCAGCUCCCGCCUGAGGUG